AAAGAUUUAUCGGCUGCGGAUGGCCAUGCGGCGCAUUAGCUAGUCGGCGGGGUAACGGCCCACCGAGGCGACGAUGCGUAGGGGUUCUGAGAGGAAGGUCCCCCACACUGGUACUGAGACACGGACCAGACUCCUACGGGAGGCAGCAGUGAGGAAUAUUGGUCAAUGGCCGAGAGGCUGAACCAGCCAAGUCGCGUGAGGGAUGACGGCCCUACGGGUUGUAAACCUCUUUUGUCGGGGAGCAAAGGGAGUCACGUGUGACUCAUUGAGAGUACCCGAAGAAAAAGCAUCGGCUAACUCCGUGCCAGCAGCCGCGGUAAUACGGAGGAUGCGAGCGUUAUCCGGAUUUAUUGGGUUUAAAGGGUGCGCAGGCGGAGGUGCAAGUCAGCGGUCAAAUUGCGGGGCUCAACCCCGUACUGCCGUUGAAACUGCAUCCCUUGAGUGCGCGAGAAGUAUGCGGAAUGCGUGGUGUAGCGGUGAAAUGCAUAGAUAUCACGCAGAACUCCGAUUGCGAAGGCAGCAUACCGGCGCGCAACUGACGCUCAUGCACGAAAGCGUGGGUAUCGAACAGGAUUAGAUACCCUGGUAGUCCACGCAGUAAACGAUGAACACUAACUGUUCGGCCAGAAUGAUGGCUGA
rnacentral:rRNA from 1 species